rnacentral:SRP_RNA from 1 species
GCUGGGCACAGUGGCUCACACCCAUAGUCCCAGCUACUUGCUAAGGCAGGAGAAUCACUUGAGCCCAGAAGUUCUGGACUGCAGUGUGUUACACCAGUCAGGUGUCUGCACAAGUUCAGCAUCAACAUGGUGAUUUCCCAGGGGCAGGGAACCACCAGGUUGUCUAAGGGAGGAUUGAACUGGCCCAGGUCGGAAAUGGAGAAGGUCAAAACUCCCAUUUGAUCAGUAGUGGGAUCACGUCUGUGAAUAGCUACUGCACUCCAGCCUGGCCUACAUAGUAAGACCCCAUCUCU